UCACACAGGAGGUAACAGCUUCAGUAGC
rnacentral:piRNA from 1 species